rnacentral:tRNA from 1 species
GUGUUUAGCUCAGCUGGUUCAGAGCAUCUGCCUUACAAGCAGAGGGUCGGCGGUUCGAAUCCGUCAACGCC